rnacentral:rRNA from 1 species
GAUCAUGGCUCAGGAUAAACGCUGGCGGCGCACAUAAGACAUGCAAGUCGAACGGACUUAACCGUUAGUUUACUAAUGGAGCGGUUAGUGGCGGACUGGUGAGUAACACGUAAGCAACCUGCCUAUCAGAGGGGAACAACAGUUAGAAAUGACUGCUAAUACCGCAUAUGCCUUGAAUAUCACAUGAUAUAAAAGGGAAAGGAGCAAUCCGCUGAUAGAUGGGCUUGCGU